GCUCCUCAGAUAUCUAGUAUGAUUUACAAAGCCCCAUCCAGGAUUUACUGUCAAAGCAAUUAAAGGAUUAAAGUAAAUAUUGAAUCCCUGAGAUUUGACAACAGACAUUAAUAUUUGUAGGCUUGACAUGACAAUUGUGCAAUUAGUAACUCACCACUGGCAGGUGUUCUGGUAAAGAAUAACAGCUGCAGAUUGAGUACACCAAAUAAUUGGGUGGGUGUCCUGGAGUCACACAAUUAGGAUACAUGAACCAAACAGAGUAAUAGACAUAAUAAAUGAUGUCACACUGUAACUAAAUGUUCAGUUAUUAAUCAUACCCAACAAUUCUGACAGUGAUCUUUAAGGCUGACAUCAGAGAUCAAAUGAACACUUCGUCCACAGCUUUCGAUAAUUAUCCUUCCUCCUGAAGAAAAAGCAUGAGAAUGUACUAUAAGUGAUUUUCUUUUUUUCAUGUUAAAAUCAUAUUCUUUGACUUGGUCUAAGAUAAAUUAACCUUGGAUCAUGAGAAAACAAGCACUGGUAUUUAGAGUUAACAAAACAGAUCACCCCUGACCUCUAGCCUUUUAUGGUCAUCCCAUUGUGCCGUUACAUUAUUAAGAGGAGAACAGACUUGGACGUCUUGAUAUCAAACCUACUGUGAUGACAUACCUGCAAACCUUGCAUUUUCCCCAAUAUUUUCCCAUAUUUUAGGCCAUCUUCUAUCCCUCUUUUUGGAUUUGCUCCUUGGAAACUACCAGGAUUUCAAGGCCCUAAGAGCACUGUAAGGGAAGCUGAUAUUGUCAUAACAAUACUUUUAUACAUCCCACCCAAGGCAACGGCUGAAGUUCUGUCACCCUAUUGUCUCACCUGGAUUUACACAGUUUGUAGUGACUAUGCUGACCUGAAUUAAACACUGUCUGAGUGUGGAAUUGAGGUGUUUUUGACAUGCUUCUAGUACAAUCCAAUGUCCAGUCCAAGGUUGCUGUUGAAUUAUAUCUUUGCCAUUUAGUGAGUGAAUGAAAAACAAACAAAAAAAGACAGAUACGUACAAAUUACAACGAUGGUGAUGUACGUGAUGAGGGUGAGAGUGGUGUCGGAGAUUAGCGGUAAAAGCAGUGUGCUCUUCCCAUUCCCCAGAUCACUACUUCACCUGGGUCCCUUUUGUAGCACCAUUCACCUGACGUGCCCCUUGUGGCAAUUGUGCGAGUAACAAAACAAAACCCCCAAAAUAAUACAGAUAAAAUGGCUGGUACACAGUUUGUUAACUUUCCUACUAGAGAAAACAAAACCCUGGUUCUGAUGUAUGCCAGCAUCAAAGACGCUGACAAAGCCACUGCCUUACCACCACUGGGCAGGUCAGAUCACAGCUUGGUUUAUAAGCAGUUGAUCUGAGAUCCCGGGCAAAGGAAUUUCUCUCUGGGGAUAAAUUAAGUUUUUGUAUUGUAUUGUAUUAUAUUAAUUCGACCACCUAGAGUGCAAUUUUAAUUUUUUUUCUUCUUCUUUGGUUUCAUUCCAUUUAAGGUCCCCUAUUACCAAAAAUCCACUUUUGGGUGGUUUUCUACCAAUAAUAUGCAUCCCCUCGAAGCCCACAACCCACCCUGACAUGAAAAAAAUGUAUUCUCCCCCUCUCUUGCUUUUCCCUCCUUUCUGAAAAUAUGAGCACUAACGGGCAAAUAGAAAAGCUGUGGGGUUAUGACGACAUAACCGACCCAGUGAAUUAAUUUUAUUUUUUAAGGAAAUGUGCUCACAACAACUCUGAAAAUGUUGUAUGUGUAUGCUAACCGUUUCACCAUGGACUGUUUUACCAAUGAGGGGCAUUUCAAAGCAGGAUUCCACUAAGAAGCUGAAGAUAAAACCUGGAUCCAUAUCAACUGACCAUGCCAGGGACCCAACUUCAAAUGUGGAAACUGCAGUACAUGUCAUAAAUCCUGCCUCCGCCAGCAAGGCCUAUUGAGCUGUGGACAAUCUUUAGAAAUUAAUUACACAGAACAUACAUUUUUCUCCUCCCUGCUUGCGAUGUUGACAUGUAGUUACAGUAAGACUGAUUUGUGCUCAAGUCAACAUUUUUCUGUGAAGCUCUGUUUUUUUCUGGCGUUCAGGGAUUGCGUAGCUCACCCGGGGUAUAUGCUGUUUGAGCCGAGCGUCAUCACAGCGACUCUCAGCGACUCUCCCACCGAAACCACACAAUGCUACUGCACAGUGCUGGUUUCAGGAAAUGAAGAAAAAUCCUGGAAAUACCGAGUUUUUUGGAUUCAAAUCCAUAUACAGGCGGGAGGCGAAACCAAGUUGUCCAUAGUAUAUACAGUCUAUGGUUUUACCAUUUUAUGUUGCUUUACCACCGCCUGUAUGACUAGUGCUUUGGCUGCAAUCACGUAUGUUUACCAUAGUUUUCAGCUUCGGACACGCUUCUAUUUACUUUUAUUCCUGUGAGCAGCAGGUGUUUCUCGGGGGUGCGGAGACAGGCUGGUGCUCCCAGCCGCGGUGGUCUGGAGGUCCUCUAAAGAUCUCCAGACCACCCCAGUGGUGCCGGCAGCUCAGAGUGGCAUUGGGGAGGAAGACCGUGGUUACACAAAGCUCAUUAUGAUUUAAAGGUACAGGCGCAGAAUCAGCCUGUUCUCAGUGGAGCUCAAAAAGAGGGGGGUACAGGCUGGCUGAUAUCCACAAAUAAGCUGGUGUUUUAGACAACAAACUUAAAAUUUACGAUUGUAGGACCUUUGGGACUGAUUUAAACUUGAUGAAAAAUGCCAUAAUAGGAGACCUUCAAGUUAAGGCUGCGUCAGUGCUUUGCUACUGUAAAUGCUACUGUUUAUCUUUGAUCUGAGUAUGUGAUACAGUUGUACAUGUUUUCUGUUCACUUCUGCCUGUGUGCUUAAGUUAUUUUAUUGCAUACAGUAUUUUAAUAGGUUUCUAUGCUAGGGUACAUUUUGGUCAAGUAAGAAUUCUCAUGAGCGAUGGGAAUUGUCAGCUUGGUCUUGGAAAAUACAUCACCAGGCUUAAAAUGAUGAACACCUGGGCAAGCGAAUGCAACCCAAUACAACAGCUCCACUAUCUUUGUUGACAUUAUCAGACAGAGAGUUAUUGGACUUGUAUUGGGCUGCAUUGGAUUGCCACUCUAAUGCGUUCAUGUGUUCAUAAUGUUCUGGCUGGUCAGUGUAAAAUAGGAUAACAAGAACUUAAUUUAUCCCCAAGGGAAAAUCCAAUUGAGAAUUGAUUUCAUAUCACAAGCAAGUUUUCUGCAGUUUAGCUAAGGUCAUAUUUGGACUUAAUCUGCCCUUUACUAUACUCAAUGCUAGACUUACCUGCAUGAAUCAUUGUCGGUGCAAAAAUUUGUAUUCAUUUUUUUACUAUCUGACGUCUUUCGCUGUAUUGGGCACUUCAUACUUGGUCUUCACAAUUUAUGCUUCAGUAGAAGUGAAAUAACAUUUAUUUCAAGAUGAUGGUGGUUGAAACGCUUAAAAAUAGCCCUGCUCUUCUUUGCAUCUUGUGACACGUAUUUCAAUGAUAAUAUGUUUUCAGGCAUGGAAUUUAUCAUUAAGGUUUGUUUUUUUUUAAUGAAAAAAACUGUAUUGUCUUAAUUAAAGAAUUAAAUUAAUUUUAUUUAAGAUUUGAUUCAAAUGAUUUUUCUGAUGAACUGUCCGUAUUCACGGCUGCCCCAGUAAGCAGUCAGAUUCAGAUUGAUGAAAUCAGUGUGUGGAGCACUUUUGACAAGACAAAUUUAAGGAAAAAAGUCCCAUCACCAAAAAUACUUAAUUGACUAUCGUCCCGUGGCCCUCACAUCAGUAGUGAUGAAGAGUUUUGAGCCCUUAGUGAAGAACGGUUUACUUUGUAUGGCACAGGCAGUGAUUGAUCUGCACCAAUUUGCCUAUCAAUCCAGGAAAGGGGUGGAGGAUGCAGCGGCAACACUGUUGAAUUUAGUUGUAAAGCACCUUGAGGGUAGGAAAACACAUGCACGUUUAUGCUUUGCUGAUUUUUCUUCAGCCUUUAACUGCAUGCAGCCGUAUGUUCUUGCCAACAGACUUUCAAAAAUACCCAGCAUUGACUUCAGAACCAUAUGUUGGCUCGUUGAUUUUCUGACAGCAAGACCACAGAGAAUUUGUGUCAAUGAUUGUCUGUGUGAGACCCUGCUGUGCUCCACAAGCUCACCUCAGGGGUGUGUUCUGUCCCCUUUAUUGUUCAUGCUCUACACUAAUGACUGUAAGAGUAUGUUUGAUUUGAGGUUGAUCAUAAAAUUUGCUGAUGAUUCAGUGCUUGUAAACCUUCCGCAGGAUAAUGAGGAUGGACAUGGUCCUGUCCUUGACUAUUUUGUUUACUGGUGUAAGGAUUCUUGUCUGCAUCUUAAUAGGCUCUAUUUUCGUGUACGCACUUUUUUUUCGUCUGGCGGAGCCCGGCAUACAGCCAGUUUGGUAUUUUCGUGGACUGAGGCGCACCAAGAUCAGCCAAGCUGGGCGUGGUGGCAUGGCAGGGGGAGAAUCAGCAGGCGCAGUGACAUUUUCGUGCUCGCCACCAGCGUAUAAAGUGCGCUGAAAGCUCGCCGAUUCAAACCUGGUCAGCUUUCAGCGCAGGCGGAGCGCAGCUGGUCUUUGGCCGCUCACCAAAAUACCAAAUUGUGCUUGGGAACGCCUUGUCGUCGCGGCAGACCUGACUUACGCGGCGCCUGCUGCACGUCUCCGGCGAGGCACGAAAAUAGAGCCCUUAGUCUGUCCUCACCCUGUGUAUUUAUUUAUUUAUUUAUUGUAUUUGUGUGUGGUAUUGGAUGUAUGCAUUUCUGCAAUGUGAG
rnacentral:lncRNA from 1 species